AAUCAACAACAACAACAGCAAUACACGGCCAGAAUAUCGUCUACGACGCACCGCAAGCCUUCUAUGACCCGCAAGAGCCACUGUACUCCAAUUACUCCUACUCACAGCCUGAGUCCUACCGUGAGUCCUACUCUGAGUCUCAACCAUACCCACAGUCUGAACCUUUCUCACAGCCGUCGUUCUUAAAGUCGGCCCAUUCUGGAUCGACAUUUUCUGAAUACAAUGACUCUAACCAUAGCUCAUAUACAUACUUCGAUGACUCGUGUCAGUCGUUUUAUCCCUCAGUGCAGACUUCCAGCUCCAAACCAGCCAGU
rnacentral:lncRNA from 1 species